rnacentral:rRNA from 1 species
AACGAACGCUGGCGGCAUGCCUAACACAUGCAAGUCGAACGAGACUUUCGGGUCUAGUGGCGCACGGGUGCGUAACACGUGGGAAUCUGCCCUUUGCUUCGGAAUAACAAUUAGAAAUGACUGCUAAUACCGGAUGAUGUCGAAAGACCAAAGAUUUAUCGGCAAAGGAUGAGCCCGCGUAGGAUUAGGUAGUUGGUGGGGUAAAGGCCUACCAAGCCGACGAUCCUUAGCUGGUCUGAGAGGAUGAUCAGCCACACUGGGACUGAGACACGGCCCAGACUCCUACGGGAGGCAGCAGUGGGGAAUAUUGGACAAUGGGCGAAAGCCUGAUCCAGCAAUGCCGCGUGAGUGAUGAAGGCCUUAGGGUUGUAAAGCUCUUUUACCAGGGAUGAUAAUGACAGUACCUGGAGAAUAAGCUCCGGCUAACUCCGUG